GGGAAUAUUUUCUUCCUUUUCAGGUUCAGGAUGGGUUAGUGGAUUCUGUACUAACAAGAAGAAUAGUUUUUCUUGUAAUUAUAGCAUGAUAUUAAUUACUUGACACUCAAUGAAAAAGUAAAUUAAGUCCACAUAAAUAUUGAAUUUUAUCAAAGCUUGUACCAAAGACGAAUAUGAAAAAUUUAAUGAUAAAUUCAAACAAAAUUAAAAUAAGAAAUAUACUUGAUGAAAGAUUAAAAAAAAAAUUAAUAAUUUAAGUAUAUAGUCAGGCUUGGUUGCCUUCCAUUCAUGCCCAAUACUCCAUCUCCAUCCCUAUUGUGUGAAAGGAUCGUUGCUAGGGCGAAAUGAUGACCAAUCAUGAAAGAAACCAACCCAACAACCAGCUGCCUCUGUUAAUACUUGCUGGGUCAAAACCUGUCAAAGAACCUGUCUUGGAAUUCCACUUCCCUGCUAAUAAUGCAAUCUCAUACAUGAAUUUGAUGAUCUUAAACAUGAGAAAUGAGACCACUAUUUGUUAAGUAAACAAACCCUUUGUCUCCCCCUUUCGCUGUUCAACCCAUUAGCACUGGUCCCGUACCGGCUCUGAUGACAGACCUCAUGGUUCAAACCCUAGAGACCUGGCAAUGGAUGAUCGGAGAGAGAGAGAUUGUGUUGUUCCCAGAACCAGCCACCCUCUCCACUCCCUCGUCAAAACAACCCCCACUUCAUCCUCUUCUUCCCUGCAAGCAGAGAGAGAAGAGGAAGGGUAAAGAAAAGCAGAGGAACAAGGGCUCCGGGUUGUAUAUAACUAGAAAA
rnacentral:lncRNA from 1 species